rnacentral:sRNA from 1 species
AGCGCGAUGGGGUCGACGCCGCGGGCCACCACCAGGUAGUCGCGGAUGGCGAUGCCGUGCCGGUUCUC